rnacentral:rRNA from 1 species
AGAGUUUGAUCCUGGCUCAGGAUGAACGCUGGCGGCGUGCUUAACACAUGCAAGUCGAACGAACCUUCGGGUUAGUGGCGGACGGGUGAGUAACGCGUGGGAAUCUGCCCUCAGGAGGGGGAUAACGGCUGGAAACGGCCGCUAAUACCCCAUAUGCCGAGAGGUGAAAAGAAAUUCGCCUGAGGAUGAGCCCGCGUCUGAUUAGCUAGUUGGUGGGGUAAGAGCUCACCAAGGCGACGAUCAGUAGCUGGUCUGAGAGGAUGAUCAGCCACACUGGGACUGAGACACGGCCCAGACUCCUACGGGAGGCAGCAGUGGGGAAUUUUCCGCAAUGGGCGAAAGCCUGACGGAGCAACGCCGCGUGAGGGAUGAAGGCCUCUGGGCUGUAAACCUCUUUUCUCAAGGAAGAAGACAUGACGGUACUUGAGGAAUAAGCCACGGCUAAUUCCGUGCCAGCAGCCGCGGUAAUACGGGAGUGGCAAGCGUUAUCCGGAAUUAUUGGGCGUAAAGCGUCCGCAGGCGGCCCUGUAAGUCUGUCGUUAAAGCGUGGAGCUUAACUCCAUUUAAGCGAUGGAAACUACAGGGCUUGAGUGUGGUAGGGGCAGAGGGAAUUCCCGGUGUAGCGGUGAAAUGCGUAGAUAUCGGGAAGAACACCAGUGGCGAAGGCGCUCUGCUGGGCCAUAACUGACGCUCAUGGACGAAAGCCAGGGGAGCGAAAGGGAUUAGAUACCCCUGUAGUCCUGGCCGUAAACGAUGAACACUAGGUGUCGGGGGAAUCGACCCCCUCGGUGUCGUAGCCAACGCGUUAAGUGUUCCGCCUGGGGAGUACGCACGCAAGUGUGAAACUCAAAGGAAUUGACGGGGGCCCGCACAAGCGGUGGAGUAUGUGGUUUAAUUCGAUGCAACGCGAAGAACCUUACCAGGGUUUGACAUCCUGCGAAUCCCUUGGAAACGAGGGAGUGCCUUCGGGAGCGCAGAGACAGGUGGUGCAUGGCUGUCGUCAGCUCGUGUCGUGAGAUGUUGGGUUAAGUCCCGCAACGAGCGCAACCCACGUCUUUAGUUGCCAGCAUUCAGUUGGGCACUCUAGAGAGACCGCCGGUGAUAAACCGGAGGAAGGUGUGGAUGACGUCAAGUCAUCAUGCCCCGUACAUCCUGGGCUACACACGUACUACAAUGCUACGGACAAAGGGCAGCAAGCUCGCGAGAGUUAGCAAAUCCCAUAAACCGUGGCUCAGUUCAGAUCGUAGGCUGCAACUCGCCUACGUGAAGGAGGAAUCGCUAGUAAUCGCAGGUCAGCAUACUGCGGUGAAUACGUUCCCGGGCCUUGUACACACCGCCCGUCACACCAUGGAAGUUGGCCAUGCCCGAAGUCGUUACUCCAACCCG